UGGCGGCAGUAGCGCGGUGGUCCCACCUGACCCCAUGCCGAACUCAGAAGUGAAACGCCGUAGCGCCGAUGGUAGUGUGGGGUCU
rnacentral:rRNA from 1 species